rnacentral:lncRNA from 1 species
CUGAGCAAGCCAUGGGAAGCCAGGGCACCAUGGACUCUACAUCAGCUCCUGCCUCCAGGAUCCUGUCCUGUUUGAGUUCCUGUUCUGACUUCCUUCAGAGAGGAACAGCAGUGCUGAAGGGGGGCCAGGGACUGUGGAGUAGACACCUCCUGCCGCUGCCUCUCCACACCCAGUGUGGCUUCAUCCUCAUCUCAAAUGUUACACCUAAGGGUGGGUGUUCUGUAACUGGCAGCCAGGAUUUAUUGUCUCCUGGUGACAAAGCCUGGCCGUGCGUGCUGUCAGCUUCCACUACUGCUGGUAGCUCUUGGUCUUGACUGGUACCAAGGAAACAUCCUGCCCUGAGGACCUGAAAUUAAUUAGAGGAUUGUUGGUUUAGCUGUGACUCAUACUCAGAAUUUUCCUCUUCAAACGUUCAGGCCAGAGGCUCUGUGCUGCGCCUUCAAACGAAACGCCUGAGACGAGAACACACAGCAGCAGUUUCAUUUUUGGGUUGUUUGUUUGUUUGCGGUUUUUGGUUUUAGAAGGGGGAACUUCCAUACUGUUUCCAUAAUAGCUUUAAUAAUUUUCAUUCACUCUAAUAGUACAGUAAAGGUUCCCUUUCUCGGGCCAGAGAGGCCUUGACCAGACUCAGCUGGUAAAGGAACUUGCACCGAGCCUGACAACCUGGCUUUGUUUCCCAGGUACUGCCUGGUGGAGAGAGAGAACCGAUUCCCAAAAGUUGUCCUUUGACCUCCACACACAGACCAGAAGGCUGUGUCAUGAAUACACUCUCUCUCUCUCUCUCUCUCUCUCUCUCUCUCUCUCUCUCUCUCUCUCUCUCUACACACACACACACACACACACACACACACACACACACACACACUGUCUCUCUGUCUCUCUCACACACACACUCACACACUCUCACACACACUCUGUCACACACACACACUGUCACACACUCUCUCUCACACACACACACUCUCUCUCUCUCACACACAAUCUCACACACACUCUCUCACAUACACUUACACACACUCACACACACUCUGUCUCUCACACAUACACACUGUCUCUCUCUCUCUCUCUCACACACACACACACUGUCUCUCUGUCUCUCUCUCACACACACACUCUCACAAUACACUUACACACACUCACACACUCUCACACACACUCUGUCACACACACUCACAACUCCCUCACAUAUACUUACACACUCUCUCACACACUCUCACACACACUCUCUCACACACACACCACACACUGUCACGCAACACUCUCUCACUCACGCACACUCUGUCACACACACACUCUGUCACACGCACACUGUCACACACUCUCACACACUCACACACUCUCACACACUCUCACAUACACACACUCACACACACACAGAAUAGAGAGAAAUAAAGGUAAAAACAAAAAAUAAAUCUUUGCUUUUUAUAAGUCCUUGCCAACAUUUGUAAAUUUUUGUCUGUUUGAGAAGAGUCAUUUUAACUGGAGUGAGCUAUCUCUUUGUGGUUUGUUUUACGUUCCCUGAUAAAGUUGAGUACUUGAAUACAAUUCCUACUGGACAUUUGUAGUCUUCUUUUGAGAAAUGUCUAGGUCACUAUUAUCGUUGUUUUGAGUUUCUUACAUAUUUUCUGAGUAUCUUUUUUUUUCCCUGACUUUGUGGGCUUUCUCUUCACUCUCUUGAUCAUUCCCUUUGCAGAAGCUUCUUGGUUUCCCAGAAUCCCACUCGUCUAGUUUGUUUUCUGUUGCUUGGGCUCAUGGGUCUUAUACAAAAAGUCUUUGACAACACCAACUUCUUUAAGUAUUUCCUCUGAUUUUUUUUUCCUAGCAGUUCUAUAGUUUUGGUCUUUUUUGGUUGAUUUUGUACGUGGU